UACGGAGGAUGCGAGCGUUAUCCGGAUUUAUUGGGUUUAAAGGGUGCGUAGGCGGAUCGUUAAGUCAGUGGUCAAAUUGAGGGGCUCAACCCCUUCCCGCCAUUGAAACUGGCGAUCUUGGGUGGAAGAGAAGUAUGCGGAAUGCGUGGUGUAGCGGUGAAAUGCAUAGAUAUCACGCAGAACCCCGAUUGCGAAGGCAGCAUGCCGGCUUCCGACUGACGCUGAAGCACGAAAGCGUGGGGAUCGAACAGG
rnacentral:rRNA from 1 species